rnacentral:lncRNA from 1 species
CCCCGCCACAGUCUUUUUACCCACUCUGGUGGCCAAGGGCUUGACAUUGGCUACCAUCUCAGUGUGAGGGAGACAGCUGAGGGGGCAAACCUCUGACACUUGUAGCCAUUUCUGUGUAUUAUGCGGGCCGCCAUCCCGUCUAUGGUCGCCAAAAAUAUCCUUGACGAAUGGUUUUCUUCGCCAAUGACCUCGCUCGGUUGAUUGUGAUUUUCGCAGAUACCUUCGUGUAUUCUUCAAAAUGUAUUCUGCCUCUUCUGGUCAGAGACAUUUCAAGAGUGGUCCUGAAAAGACCUUUUGUUAGUUGCCUUUGAAAAAUGCAAAAUCUUGCGGAUCUGUUUGGAACGGCGAGCUUGGAGCUAUCUUGUGGCAGGAUUCCUUUCUGGAGAUAGGCAAUAUCUCGUCCAUUUCACGUCGGAUUUUCUUCCAUCUAGAGGAUUUGAUUGGCGACCCCAAUGCUUGGGUUAGCUGGAAUUCAGAGGUAUGCACCUGUUUUUAGAAAUAAACUCAAAAGUUGAUGCCAGCGUAGCUAAGGCGUCUGCCUUUAUAUCCUCUCGGGGAUCUGGGGGAUGUAAAAUUCCUUGAUCUUUGCGGGGACGAGCUUUACCUCGCCCAAAUAAGCCAUCAUUCUUGAGUCCUUGGCGAGGUAGUCUCCUGGGACUUGGUACCACAGUUGUGAAUCACUGAAGACUUCAAAGAUUGCCGCUCCCAACUCCGUGGCUAUCUUAGUCCGGCGGAGGAGGGCUUCGUACCGGCUUCAUUGUUAGUGGCUUUAAAUCCCCUUCUUAGGCGUAACUCCAUUGUUCGCCUGAUGGAGCUCGUAUGACGAGUCCUGCACCAACAACCGUGCGGGGGGGGGGGGGGGGGGGGGGGGGGGGGGGGGAUGGUUAGAAGAAGCCAUCGACGAAUAAUAUCCAGUGGGCGAGGUCUUUUUUUGAGGUUGGUUCUUUAGGAAUCCCGCUUCAAGAGGACCCGUUUCUGGUUAUGGAGUGUCUUUAGGUGGUUUUUGACAAUGAAAUCAGCCAGGCCUGGAAUUUUAUUACCGUCCUUGGCUUGUACUUCAAUGUGGAACUCACUUAGUCGAUGGGACCGUUAGGAGUCGACCUGAUGUGUCUGGUCGCUUGAAGAAUAUGCUUCAUGGUUGAUCAGUCAGUACUAUGAUGGGAUGGGCUGCUGAACGUAAUGACGAAAGUUUUCUCGCGGCGAUCAUUAGGCGUAGGCGGUUUUCGAUCUUCGGAUAUCUGGUCUUGCACCCCUUAAGACUUUGGUAAAGUAGUAAAUUGGCCUUUGGACUUGAUGUCUCUUCUCGGAUGAGCACGACACUCACCGCGGUGGCGGAUGGAUAAAAUACGUAAAGGUCGUCGCCGGUGGUUAGGGACGGUGAGUAAAGGCGGAGACCGAGAUACUCUUUAGAGUUGGAAUGCAUUUUCAGAUCCUCAUUCCAUUGAAAGGCCUGGUUUUUUUUAGGCUUCUGAAGAAGGGGGCAUUUGUCCGUAGACUUGGAGACAAAUGUUGAGAGGCGGCUACCGCCCAGUCAGCUACUGUACUUCUCGAUAUUUUUAGGCGAGGCUUUCAUCGGCGGUUAGGGCUUGGAAUUUGAUCUGGGUUUACCUCAAUUCCACGCUUGGUAUCAAAAAUCUUAAAAAUUUUUCCGGACGACACUCCCAAAAGAUACACUUGAGGAUCAACAUCAUCCGGAUGGCGACGCAGGAUGCUAAAUGCUCUUCAAGUUGGGGACCAAUUGGUCGGAUGAUCGGAGACUUUUGACUAGCAUAUUCAUUAUGUAUACUUCCAGGUCUCCCAAUUUGUUCCUUGAACAUCUUAUGACUAACCUCUGAUACGUCACCCCAACGUCUCAAUCCGAAUGCAUGACUUUAUAACAAUAUAGCCCUCGCUUUGUGAUAAGAAGGUUUUCUCGAUAUCAGGAGGGUACUUUGAUAUGGUGAUACCUGAGAAGGCGUCCAUAAAACUCAGGAGCCUCGGGCUUGGAGGUGGCGUCGACUAGUAGUCGAUUUGCGGCAAGAGAAAACGGUCUUUGGGCAAGCUUUGUUGAGGUCGGUUGAAUCGACGGCAUUACUUCCACUUCCUCUUUUUUAGGGGAGACCACGGACAUUGGCGAAGCCAAUCCGGUAGUGGGUUCUCGGGACGACGUUAGCUCUGAUGAGCUUAUUCAUUUCGUCUUCAAUAACUUUUAGGCCGUUCAGGGGUGAACUUCUUCACUUUUGGUGAACUGGAGAAUGUUUUGGGCGGUAAAACAGUUUGUGCAUGCGCGGAUUAGGAUCAAUGCUAGGAACGUUCCUGUGACUAGGCGAAUACGUCGGAUUGUCUUUUAAGAAGUUUAUUAAGGGGGCGAAACGAAGCUCAUGGUAAGUUCUGUGCCGAUCAUGAUAUGGCGAUAGGAUAUUCUAGAUGUAUGGAGAUGGGGACGAUCUUUCAAGAGGCUGGUGUUAUUGGUUUCUCUGGGGCUGCCAGGGUGAGUUGUUCCACUUCAUCUCUGAGUUCCACUUCAUCCUGGAGUUACCUCGUAUCGUCGCCCACGUUCGUAAUUACUAUUGGAAUGGGCGGAACUGAAGAGGUUUCGACCCUCAUGGUGCAAUGAAGCUUGCCUGGCCACUUUCUGAUCGCCCUCGAUCUCGCUAUCCCUGUGGGUGGGAAACAUUAGCUUCAGGUGAUCGACGAGGGAUCGGCCUUGAUUCCUCCUUAAAAGUGUCGCCCCAAGAUGCGUAUAGGGCAAGGGCAUCUACCACAAAUAAAAAUUCUGCCAUACGUGGUUUGGUGGGGUUCAGUUCCCGAGUUAUCGUCAAAUGAUCUAUCCCAAGGGGUGCGUCUUAUCCCUCCAAAUCGAUCAGGGGAGUAUGGAAAGGGUGCAACUUGUCCAGCCCAAUUUCAUUUUUUUUUGAACGCUGAGAUGAACAGAUAUCGGAGCUCCGUUGUCGAUUAAAAAUCCUCUGAACGUUAAAAUUGGCGAGAGGCUGAGACAAACCAGGGCAUCGUCGUGGGUAGGUGCCAAGCCUCUCAAAUCCAUCAUUGCUGAAGGUGAUGGGUGUUUGAGUCAGCAACAAAUGCGAGGAGGAGGUUAUAGACUUCCUUCCUCGGACGAUCUAUGGGACUCUAGAUCUGCCUUUUCCAUGGAUGAAGUCGAAUAACGUCCGAUCCGAAACCUCUUUAUGGAUUGUUUGUAUAUUGCCGCAGUUGGCUUUGUUGCUGUACCUUCUUUCUGGGGAGUUGGGUGGUGGGCGAGUAGCGACAUAUGUUCUCAGGUAACCCCUUUUAAUGAGGUCGGCGCAUCUGUUCUUCAGUUGAAAAUAGUCCUCAGUAUUGUGUCGUGGUCCCGGUGGAAUUCACAAUAUUUGUUCCUGUUCCUAUUCUGGGGGUCAGUCUUGAUCUUCCCGGGCAUUGAGAAUUCUUCGUGGCUUAAUUCCGAGAGUACUUGGGCGACAGGGGCGUUGAGUGGAGGUAGAAUAAACUCAAGUCGGCGAGGCGGGGUGCGAGGGACGCCUAAUCGCUAGACCGUUUGGGAUCCGGUCAGGUUUUUUUUUUGUACCUCAUUUCCUCCCUAUAACAGUCGCCUAGUAUCAGGCUCUUUCCUCUAGCUCAUUUUCCUCGUCGCCUUCGUUUAACCGGCUAACUCUUCUGCGGCGAUAUCACUUGUCGGCUUUGCUCUGGGCGUGGAUAAGUCUCAGGGACGCUUUUGGAACGGGAGUCGAACAGGGGACAGGUCAGAGUCCUUCCAUCAUUGCCAUGAUAACUUACUUUAUAGCUGGAUCUUCAACUUCUAAUAUGGCAUGAUUGAAUGUUUCACAAAAUCUUUACGCUCUCGGUCUCCCUUUUGGUGAUCGGUGAAACAAGUGGGAAGCAUUCUUCUGUCGAUUCUGCACUCAUGAAAUUGGCAACAAAGAGUCGAUUAGCUCGCCAAAAGAGUCUACGGUUCUUGGCGCUAGUUUUCGAAACUACGGACUUGGCCGGUCAUUUCAAAGUGGCGGAGAACGUGCACAAAACUCAUCGAGCAACCCAUGAAGAGAAAUAGGUUUGUACGAGUCCAGGUGAUCCAUCGGAUCUGUCUACCCUUCAUAAAUGCCGAGCUGAGUUGGGAGCUUGAACUUCGAAGAGAUCCGAGCUCUAUACCCUUCCGUGAAUGGCGGAUCUGUUUGUCUGACCAGAGUAUACACAGUUACUGGAGCAUUUGUCCCAGUGUUAAUGGCGUCUAGCCGGGGUCCAAAUCUCGAAUCUUCUGCGAGGUGGAGUGUUCGUGCCCGAUCUGAUCGCUUUGUGGGGACUCCUUCCCUCCACCUGGCCGAGUUUGACUAGAUUCUGAUGAGGAAACUCCUUUCAUGUAAGGACGGAUUGAUGCCGGAUGCCUACCCCUUGCUCGUUCGGACUGAUGUGUGAAAACGAUCCCAGAACGAUUAGAGUGUCGAGAUCGUUCAUAUCAGGGAGGAUGGUGCGCCGGAAGUGGGGGGUUGGCAGCAGUGGAGAAGUUGCAUUAGGUGACCAUAUUUUCGUUUCAUGAUUCCUCAUCUGCUAGCCCUAUCGUAUAUCUCACAGUGGAGGCCUUCUAGAUUUGGAACUUGGCCGGUGGCCAUAGGAUGGGAUCUGUUACCAGGGGCUACUGGCACUUGGUCUGGGAGCUUGCGGGCUGUGGCCAAGUGCAUAGAAAAUCGAGGAAUGUCGUUCCCACGACGACCGCAAACGUUGUGUAAAAAACUAGGGCUAGCAACAACAGGGUCAAUAUUGUGUUCUCGAAUUGGACCUCGGAACUUUUAAGGGGCGACCGCACAGAGGAACAGAAGUAAAUGGCCGGGCGAGCCACUCAAAACCCCUCCGGCGUGGAGAUCAGACCAAAGGCGAUGACAGCGGGUAAAAGAGCUCAGAAGAGAGGUAGAGUAUGUUGAGCGUACCAUUUGUAUAAUUGGGGAGCGGCUUUUUUAGACGGAGUAAUGGGGCCGUGCCCAUGGAUCACGCGAGAUCCUCGGAAAGAUGAGUAUGGAAAGAUAUCUCGGAGAGUAGGAGACAUAAUUGGAAAGAUUGCCAUCUGGAGAGGAUCCGUAAUGUCGGUCGUGGAGGAGCAAAUCUCGUGAUGGGCGUAUAGGAUAGGAAUCUGGUGGAGAUGAUCUUGGGGGGGGGGUUGGGGGAUGUGGGGUGUUGUUUUUUUUUUUGUUUUCUUUUUUUUUAAAGCCAAGUAUUCUACCUCGCCCAAGGGCGAGGGAGGCGACUCACUUUUUGGGCUUGGGGGUGAGGCUCAAUGAGAGCCUGGCGAGGGUUCCAUGAUGAACGUGGAUUGUUUUACCUUGGUCAAGAGGUGGAGAUAAGCAAUCUUUGGGGAGAAUCAUGGGCGACCAGUUCUGUGAUGGAAGACGUACGGCCUUGGUCGGUGGAGAAUUUCCCACAUCAAGAUUAGUGAAAAUUUUUUAUGACCAUUAUUACUAUUAAUCUGAUAAUUUAUUUUCUUCCCUUUCUACUGAUUUGAAUCCCCCUUUAGGUUUUUGAUCCCUGUAAUUUAUUUUAAAAAAAAAAUCGGCUUCCACUUUUAGUUUUCUUUUUUGUCGGUGGUUGAGGACAGUUUUAACCUUUGACUUUGCUAUGGCUGUGUAAUUUUUCCCCCUGUUUUUGGAAGAGCUCUGUGAAGGGGUUCUUUUCACAGCUGUGAUUUUCAUCUUCUUUUUUUUUUUUUUUUAUCAAGUAAAAAGUAUUAAGGUCAAAAAGUUGAAUCUCCGGAUUAUACCAAGAGGAAACAAAAGGGCAAAAGGCCUCAACCGAAACAUACCUACAAUUGUAAUACAACGCAGCUCUAUGCCUCAACAAGGCUGUAAAUAAAUCCCACAACCGGAAGCAACCAAACUAAAAAGUGAUUAUCUCAAUUUUAGAAAGCCUAAAGCCUGCCCCAUCAAAUAUCCAGAGACAGCCACAAUAUCACAAAAACAACACAUCACUCACAAUUGCAACACAAUAUUAUAACCAUCGCAACUCGCAGACCAAUACUGGAAACUAAUCUUUGUGGUCUCAAAACUAAUACGGAUUAAACCCACACAAAAGACAAUAAAAGAUUUAUGGUUCGGCCAACGAUGCCUACAUCCCGAGAGAAAUCACAAUCCACUAUCAAACAAAUGGAUUUACAACGGAGGAGAUCACCUCCAACUCACACCCUCUCUCAAAUCUCUCUCUGUCUUUUGCCUCUCAUCUCAUCUCACAGCAAUGGGGGGGGGGGGGGGGGGGGGGGAGCAGAGGAGAAGGGCUCUGUUCUCUCCUCCCCCCCCCCCCUCCCUUAGAAAAUCUAAGCACCCUACCAUCCCUUUUAUAGACCAAGGGAAAGAGGUGGUGACUCCUAUCAGAAUACCUAAUCUUAUCCUAAUCUAUCUAGGAAAACAAAAGGGUGAUAGAAAGACCUCUCCAAGAGUUCUAGAUAACUCGAGAGUUUCACUGUCACAUGGACACUCCUAUGGGGGGGGGGGGAACUUCAAUGGCUUGGGCUUCGCUACUGGACUCGGACUCAUCCAAGUGGCUUGGACUCAUCCAGAUGGGCUGGACUCAACAAUCUCCCCCUCCACCCACUAGAGGGUAAUUGACGUCUCAAGUUUGUCCUUCCUGACAGCUUUCUGAUCAGCUCCCCCAUAAGACUGCAAGACAUCAUCCGAGAAUCUUACCUCAUCACAGUACUCCACUUUCCCACCACAGUUGGCCUUCACCUCCACACUGAAGUGGCUGCACCUUCUCACUGAGGUCCCUGCACCCCCACUAUGGUGCCCCCCACCGGGGUGGAGCCACAAAGUAUGUCAACUUUGCAGUUUUCGUGGCUCCAUCUCUCCUCCCUUGUGCACACCACGAUAGAGAUCCACCGCCACUGAUCAAAUCGAGAGCAAAAGAGACUCGCUUCGGCAUCACCGCGCCCUUCGCUGUACAGCUUCUCAAAAUCGACUUGGUCUCCUUCCUCUGAGCUUCUCUAUGGACAUCCUUCCUAGUUGCACCACUCGUGCUGGCCAGACUUCCGUACAUAUCCCAAGUAUCUCCCUGCGCUCUGUACCACUCCGGAUUCUCUAGGGUACCCCUGCGCUUACUUUGUGUACCUCUGUGCAAACGGUGCUUCCCUUGUCCACUCUGUCUCGCUAUAUCCACUAGACCCAUGUCGGACAGUAGCUCCCCCUGUCUGACACUCCCUCCAAUCGGUAUAGUCCUCCUUCUUCUUUCCCCACAGCUCUCCUUGUUUUUCCUUGAAACUCGAGAGUUCCUCCACUAGCAUCAAGUUGCAUCCCUUUACUCUAGCAUCCCAAUAGAAAUCAAUUUUUCGUAGAUUAGAACAUGCCUUACCUCAGUCACGUCCCACAGACCUCUUGUCUGCCAUGCGAAACCGGACUGACCCUCUGCCAACAACUCUCUAGACGUGUUGUUCGCCCAUCCAUAUACGUCCUCGCAUGGUGCAUAUUUAAGAACACCUCUCUAUCUCUGCACAUGGUUAAGACUGCUGAUCCAAUAACCCAAUCUGACUUUCCAUCUUCCGAUGCUACUGGAGAACGUCAAACUCAUCCUCAUCCUCAGCCAUCACUAUUUGUUCCGCUGUUUGUAUUUGAAGACUGAUCAUGUGCUUUAUACUUUGACCAUCCCUCUUGAUUGUCCCUCCUGGUAGAAAUAAAGCCCUAAUAGUGCGACCUCUCCCUGUGACCACCGUCCUUUUUCAGUACCCUUAUGAUGACCUCUUCCUUGACCUCAGCCUUUUCCCUGCUUCUCUUGAAACUAGGGCUGGACUCACUCUGAUCUGUCGAACCCAUCUCUCUCCUCCUAGUCCUCUUCAUGACCGGGCAUCCAUGACCAUAAUCGUAGUUCCUUCUUAGUCGGCGUCUGAUUGCGAGAGAAACCACCAUGGCCUCUCAACUCUCUGGCAAGGAACUCAGAGCAAUAAGGCCGCACCUCGUCGCAACUGUAGGUCACACUAGUCAACCUAAUUGACCAAAUUUUUAGAAUUCCCUCGUAGUUUCCGCCACUGUAGUCUUUCUCCUGAGUUUUUAAAUCACAAGCCUCCUCAUCAAUAAAGGCUUUAUUUCGAGAAUGUCUUCGCCUGGCCAUUCUCCUCCAACUGAUCCACACACCUCACAAGCACUCGUCUCCGGUGCUUACAUAUGGAAACACCUCGUGUCAAUGCACUGUCUAAGCCCAAUCGCCUUCACUAUUCAUUUUCCUCCAUUCCUUCUCAUCCUUCUUCACUAAAGUUUUUCCUCCCUCUUUAAUUCUCCAAAUGGUUCGUGCAAAUCCUUGCCAAAUAGGAUGUCCGACAUCUAGGUUUCCAUAUGGCAUAAUUCGCGUCCUGAAAAGUACGAUCUCGAACCAAUUAUGGCACUUUGCCAUCUGAUUUCUCUCAAUAGAAGCAAAAUUUUUGAAAACCUACCCCGCAAUGAUCCAAGAAUGCUGAGAAAUCUCCAACGAAGGCUAAACUGUCAAUCAAAAAACUUCUAGGACCAAACUGUCAAAAUUAGAAAUUUUGGGCCAAAUCACAACAAAAUUCAAAAUUUGGGGUCCCAUUUUGACAAAUCAAAAACUUUUUCUUUGGGACCAAAUUGAAAUAUCCGAACUUCAGGACUAAACUGUAUUAUCAGUAACUCUAGGGACCAUCUUACUUCAAUAGAAACUCUAGGGAACCAAACUGUAAUUACUCAAAAAUCCAGGGCAAAAGUGUAAUUUACUCAAAACAGUCAACGGUCAACAGAUCAAGUCAACGGUCAAUGCUGACUGGGCGCUGACACGUGGCGCGUGGCGGUCGUGGCUGAGACGAUUUCAAAACGGCUCCGUGGGGGCGCGUUGGACACGUUUUCGCGAGUUUGGUGCUGGGCUCCGUAUCAACGAGAGGAAUCCCUGGUGCAAUCAAAAAAUUCAUUUUAGUGCACUUUCCAUACACCCAAAUUUCGACUUGGGCUCCGAAUUGCUCCACUAGGCUCUGAUACCAAUUGUUGUGCUCAAAACUAAUUACGGAUCACACACACACAAAGACAAUAAGAUUUAACGUGAUUCGCCAACUAUGCCUACAUCCACGGAGAGAAAUCACAAUCCACUAUCAAACGAUGGAAUUACAACGGAGGAUACUCACCUUUCAACUCACCCCCUCCCUCUCCCCAUCUCUCCUGUCUUGCCUCUCAAUCUCUACCUCACAGCACUAUCUGCUCUCAAGCCCACAACACAACGAACGUAGAAAUCUAGAGCCCCCUACCAUCCCUUUUAUAGACCAAGGGAAGAAGGUGAGUGGACUCUACCAGAACCUAUCAUUAUCCUAAUCUAUCUAGGAAACAAAGAUAAGACUAUCCAGAGUUCUAGAUAACUCGGAGUUUCAUCACCGUCACAUGGAAACUCCAUAUGAACUACAAUCGGGCUUGGGUUGGCUACUGGAUUUGGACUCAUCCAAGUGGGGCUGGACUCAUCCAGAAUGGGUUGGACACAAAUAUAAUUCCACUUUUUGUCACUAAGGCACACCUUUGAUCAUUAACUAAUUCGGCCCUCCCUGCUUGCUUCUUUUUCAAUUCUUUUUCCUUACAUAAAUUCCCUUUUUAGCUAAAGGGGAAAAGGGAGGAUUGAAGAGGAAGAUGCCUGAGUUCUUUCUGCCUUCGUGGAAUGCGCUUUGCAAUACAACCAGCCUUCCUAAUUCUUUGGGAGGUGUUCUAAUUCUGGGCGGCAUUGAGAUAGCCAAAAACUUUGAGAUUUGGUGUUUUAGUUUGUUUUUUUUGAACGGCAAAGAAGAAGAGAGAAAGGAGAACAAAAUUACAACACAGAGGAAAACACCAGCCAAAAAUGUUGAUAAGAAAUCAACCAACAAAUCAGAACCUCAACAACUACCUAAGUAUUCCUAUCAACUAAGAUAAAUGUAACAAAACAAACCUAGAUGCUAGCAGCUUUGGACAUCCUAUCCUCGCGACUUAUCUGCACCGUAGCAAAAUCCUCGAACCUUACGGCCCACACAAACCAACAACUUUACCUCACGGAACCCAAUGAGAACAUUCUGACUCAAACACUGAGAUUCAACAAGGGG